GCCAAAGACAAGCCUCUGCCUUCAUGCUCCUAGUCCCUUCCUUGAAGCGGUCGGAUAAUCACAUGACGAGCCUCAAGCAAGGGACUUCAAGCUGGUGGCUUCCAGCAACUAGCUUCCUG
rnacentral:precursor_RNA from 8 species